AUUGAACGCUGGCGGCAUGCCUAACACAUGCAAGUCGAGCGGAGCGAGGGUGCUUGCACCUUAGCUUAGCGGCGGACGGGUGAGUAAUGCUUAGGAAUCUGCCUAUUAGUGGGGGACAACAUUCCGAAAGGAAUGCUAAUACCGCAUACGCCCUACGGGGGAAAGCAGGGGAUCUUCGGACCUUGCGCUAAUAGAUGAGCCUAAGUCGGAUUAGCUAGUUGGUGGGGUAAAGGCCUACCAAGGCGACGAUCUGUAGCGGGUCUGAGAGGAUGAUCCGCCACACUGGGACUGAGACACGGCCCAGACUCCUACGGGAGGCAGCAGUGGGGAAUAUUGGACAAUGGGCGGAAGCCUGAUCCAGCCAUGCCGCGUGUGUGAAGAAGGCCUUUUGGUUGUAAAGCACUUUAAGCGAGGAGGAGGCUACUUAGAUUAAUACUCUGGGAUAGUGGACGUUACUCGCAGAAUAAGCACCGGCUAACUCUGUGCCAGCCGCCGCCGUAAAAC
rnacentral:rRNA from 1 species